rnacentral:lncRNA from 1 species
UUUCUGACAGUAAGUUACUUGUGAUAUUCCUCAAUAAAAUCUCAUCCAAAAAUGAGAACCAUUUUUCUCAUUAAUUCUACUGAAGGAAUUUUGGAAGGAGUCCAUGGAAUAUGUUGCACCAGUCAAAUGGUUUAUAGAUGGAAAAAAAUACUUUAGAAGCAACGAUAAGAUCAUAUGGUCAGAUGAAGAACCAUUAAUUGGGGAAAGGACCAACUUUACUAAAAUGGAACCUCCUAAGGAAAUUCAAUCCAUAAAUUUUGAAAAUGGAAAAUUGCACAGUUUGUCAAACACUGUAAAACAAGAACAAAUGAUGAUUGAAGUGUCAAAAAAUAAAAAAACCUUCCAAUCCAGUAUAGUAAAUGAAUUUGGAGUUUUGGGGGAAAUUUACAACAAGAGUUUGGCAAAUGAUUUAAAAAUGGAGUCUUGUAUCGAAACACAAAGAGAGAAAGAUCCUUGGUGGAUGGUGGAUUUGCAAUCAACAUAUCCAGUAGAAUAUGUUUCUCUCACUGGCCGGAAAGAUUGUUGCCAACAUGAGAUGGAUGGAGCACUUAUUCUGGUUGGAAAUUCAUCAGAAAAUGGUGGUAAAUCAAAUUCGAGGUACUGACAUUUGGGCAAUUUAAUCUUUGAUCUUUUUAAAAUAUGAAACAAUUUAU